ACGGGAGGCAGCAGUGGGGAAUUUUCCGCAAUGGGCGAAAGCCUGACGGAGCAAUCUCGCGUGAGGGAUGACUGCCUAUGGGUUGUAAACCUCUUUUUUCAGGGAGGAAUAAAUGACGUGUACCUGAAGAAUAAGCAUCGGCUAACUCCGUGCCAGCAGCCGCGGUAAUACGGAGGAUGCAAGUGUUAUCCGGAAUCACUGGGCGUAAAGCGUCUGUAGGUGGUUUAAUAAGUCAACUGUUAAAUCUUGAGGCUCAACUUCAAAAUCGCAGUCGAAACUAUUAGACUAGAGUAUAGUAGGGGUAAAGGGAAUUUCCAGUGGAGCGGUGAAAUGCGUAGAGAUUGGAAAGAACACCGAUGGCGAAGGCACUUUACUGGGCUAUUACUGACACUCAGAGACGAAAGCUAGGGUAGCAAAUGGGAUUAGAUACCCCAGUAGUCCUAGCUGUAAACAAUGGAUACUAGAUGUUGAACAGAUCGACCUGUGCAGUAUCAAAGCUAACGCGUUAAGUAUCCCGCCUGGGAAGUAUGCUCGCAAGAGUGAAACUCAAAUGAAUUGACGG
rnacentral:rRNA from 1 species